AAAAAAAAGCCUAACCCCAAGAUAUGCCAGAUCCGCUACAAAUACAGAAAAUUCACUGUUUACACGGACAGAGUCUCCCCUAUAUUUGCAUGGCGUCGCACAAGUACACAAGUACAAACAGAGUAUAACCAGGAUACAACCACAAUACAUGAAUAUACAAUACUCAACAUUCGUUCACCAUUCACCAGAUAUUUACCAUUCAGUGUUUAAACAUAAAAGCCACGAGAAAACUCUUUUGAAAGCUGUUUUCCACACGGAAACCUUUUUUUUUUUAAACACGCUACCAUGAGGGGUAGAAAACUAUUUUUCCUUUUUACAAAAUCCACGAGUUCUAUAGUUUAUUCCAAAUCACAUGAAUUCGAAUAAUAUAAACCAACUGAACCAUGAAAUAUUAAAGCUAUUAAUAACAAAAGUAAACAGGGUAGGAACUAAACCAACAAACUAGGUCGGAAGCUCU
rnacentral:lncRNA from 1 species